rnacentral:rRNA from 1 species
UACGUAGGGUGCGAGCGUUAUUCGGAAUUACUGGGCGUAAAGCGUGCGCAGGCGGCUUUGCAAGACAGAUGUGAAAUCCCCGGGCUCAACCUGGGAACUGCAUUUGUGACUGCAAGGCUAGAGUACGGCAGAGGGGGAUGGAAUUCCGCGUGUAGCAGUGAAAUGCGUAGAUAUGCGGAGGAACACCGAUGGCGAAGGCAAUCCCCUGGGCCUGCACUGACGCUCAUGCACGAAAGCGUGGGGAGCAAACAGG